UACGAAGGGGGCUAGCGUUGCUCGGAAUCACUGGGCGUAAAGCGCACGUAGGCGGCUUUCUAAGUCAGGGGUGAAAUCCUGGAGCUCAACUCCAGAACUGCCUUUGAUACUGGGGAGCUCGAGUCCGGAAGAGGUAAGUGGAACUCCUAGUGUAGAGGUGGAAUUCGUAGAUAUUAGGAAGAACACCAGUGGCGAAGGCGGCUUACUGGUCCGGUACUGACGCUGAGGUGCGAAAGCGUGGGGAGCAAACAGG
rnacentral:rRNA from 1 species